rnacentral:rRNA from 1 species
GAUGAACGCUAGCUAUAGGCUUAACACAUGCAAGUCGAGGGGCAGCAUAGUCGAAGUUUACUUUGACUGAUGGCGACCGGCGGAUGGGUGAGUAACACGUAUCCAACCUACCGUAUACAUGAGGAUAGCUCUUCGAAAGAAGAAUUAAUACUCGAUGUUGUAAUCUUUUCGCAUGAAUGAGAUUACCAAAGAUUUAUCGGUAUACGAUGGGGAUGCGCUUCAUUAGAUAGUUGGUAGGGUAACUGCCUACCAAGUCUACGAUGAAUAGGGGUUCUGAGAGGAAGGUCCCCCCACAUUGGAACUGAGACACGGUCCAAACUCCUACGGGAGGCAGCAGUGAGGAAUAUUGGUCAAUGAGCGAAAGCUUGAACCAGCCAAGUAGCGUGAAGGAAGACUGCCCUAAUGGGUUGUAAACUUCUUUUGUAAGAGAAUAAAGUCAGUCUCGUGUAGACUGUUUGCAUGUAUCUUACGAAUAAGGACCGGCUAACUCCGUGCCAG